AGUCAUCAGCGACGCCUUCCACUCCGACUCUGUUCUGACCGAGAUCUACAUCGACAAGCGAGUGCAAGUGUCAUGCAUGCUUCAGGUGUCUACGGGUGGAUGAUCCAAUCAGCCAUGUUAUGUGCAUCGACAAGCCAGCAUAUCGCACACUUUUUUUCUAGAAGGAUGGGCCUGGUGAUUGGCACGGAAGCGUUCUCCAUUGACGAAAAAUAAGCACUCGUGGGUGUAGAUGCAUGUGUGACUAAAAUUUGUUGGAGAGCGAAAAAAGUUAGUGGACUCUGCCGUCAUUGUAACAGAGUUGGACUGUGAAUGUA